CAAAACUUAAGCUCAGCAUAUUCCCAUAGCAACCAGGCAACUACAACAGGUCACAAUGGUAUUAUAUAUUAUAAAGUAUGUGCAUGUUACAUACAAUAAGGAGUCUGUGUAAGUCUCAUUUGUGUUGCUAUAAAGGAAUUCAUGAGACUAAGUAAUUUACAAAGAAAAGAGAUUCAGUUGGCUCCAGGAUCUGCAGGCUGUACAAGAAGCAUGACACCAGCAUCUGCUUCUGGUGGGGGCCUCAAGAAGCUUCCAAUCAGGAGAAGGUGAAGGGGGAGCAUGCAUGUCACAUGGUAAAAGAGGGAGCGAAAGAGAAGAGAGGACUUCCCUAAAAUGAAGAAACUGGGAAAUUGAGGCUCAGAGAGAUAGUGUGGUUUGCCCAGAGAUCUCAUCCCUCCAGGCUGUAGCAGAGCCAAAACUCAAACCCAGGUCUUUCAACUCUAAGCCAUUCUCAGUGAUGCCUCCUCCUCUCUUUAAGAGAGCUUCCCUGCCCACAGACCUAGACCUACGAAGGAGAAUUGUCAGGCUCUUCCCAACUCUGUCUUGUGGCAUCUUGGAAAAGACCUCUGUCUUCUUGUACAUACCAGAUCCACCCUCCACUUGCUAGGUAUGGGCAUAUUCUUCCGCCCUUUAAACCUAUGCCUCCAAUAAAUCAUCAGCUCCAAAAUCUCCUCUGCA
rnacentral:lncRNA from 1 species